CUCGAUCUGACGAAUUCCAAAUAAGACGAAACGCGCGUCCUGGAU
rnacentral:hammerhead_ribozyme from 1 species